GACGAACGCUGGCGGCGUGCCUAAUACAUGCAAGUCGAACGCAGUGGGGACGGGUGAGUAACACGUGGGUAACCUCCCAUCAGAGGGGAUAACACUUGGAAACUGGUGCUAAACCCAUACUGAUGUAGCUACUCGCGGUGCAUUAGCGUGUUGGUGAGGUAACGGCUCACCAAGGCCACGAUGCAGAGCCGGCCGGAGAGGAUGAUCGGCCACACUGGGACUGAGACACGGCCCAGACUCCUACGGGAGGCAGCAGUAGGGAAUCUUCGGCAAUGGGCGAAAGUCUGACCGAGCAACGCCGCGUGAGUGAAGAAGGUUUUCGGAUCGUAAAGCUCUGUCGUUAGAGAAGCGGUAUCUACACAGAAAGCCACGGCUAACUACGUGCCAGCAGCCGCGGUAAUAC
rnacentral:rRNA from 1 species